CUGAUAAUCCCUCCGUCCAACAAAGGAUGUCUCAACUUUGACUAAAUUUGAAUGUAUCUAUACACUAAGUCAUGUUUAGAUACAUUCAAUUUUAACAAACUUGAGACAUCUUUUGUUGGACGGAGGAAGUAGAAG
rfam:Brachypodium distachyon strain Bd21 chromosome 2, whole genome shotgun sequence.